CCCGCUACAAGUAAACGUUAAAGGAAGUUGGACCGGGGACCCGCACAAGCAGGCGGAGCAUGUUGGUUUAAUUCGAAGCAACGCGAAGAACCUUACCAGAUCUGACAUCCAAUUGACCAUUCUUUUAAUCGAGAUUUUUGCCUUCGGGUACAAUUGAGACAGGUGGUGCAUGGUUGUCGUCAGCUCGUGUCGUGAGAUGUUGGGUUAAGUCCCGCAACGAGCGCAACCCUUGUGUUUUAGUUGCAAACAGGUCAAGCUGUGCACUCUAGACAGACUGCCGUGGACAACACGGAGGAAGGUGGGGAUGACGUCAAAUCAUCAUGCCCCUUAUGAUCUGGGCUACACACGUGCUACAAUGGCCGGUACAACGGGCAGCGAAGGAGCGAUCCGGAGCGAAUCCUAAAAAGCCGGUCCCAGUUCGGAUUGCAGGCUGAAACUCGCCUACAUGAAGUUGGAGUUGCUAGUAAUCGCGAAUCAGAAUGUCGCGGUGAAUGCGUUCCCGGGUCUU
rnacentral:rRNA from 1 species